rnacentral:rRNA from 1 species
UACGUAGGGUGCGAGCGUUAAUCGGAAUUACUGGGCGUAAAGCGUGCGCAGGCGGUCUUGUAAGACUGAUGUGAAAUCCCCGGGCUUAACCUGGGAAUGGCAUUGGUAACUGCAAGACUUGAGUGUGGCAGAGGGGGGUAGAAUUUUGCGUGUAGCAGUGAAAUGCGUAGAUAUGCAAAGGAAUACCGAUGGGGAAGGGAGCCCCCCUGGGCCUGCACUGACGCUCAUGCACGAAAGCGUGGGGAGCAAACAGG